rnacentral:rRNA from 1 species
GUGGGGGAUAUUGCACAAUGGGGGGAACCCUGAUGCAGCGACGCCGCGUGGGUGAAGGAGUGCUUCGGCAUGUAAAGCCCUAUCGGCAGGGAAGAAGCAAGACGGUACCUGACUAAGAAGCCCCGGCUAACUACGUGCCAGCAGCCGCGGUAAUACGUAGGGGGCGAGCGUUAUCCGGAUUCACUGGGUGUAAAGGGAGCGUAGACGGCCAUGCAAGCCAGGGGUGAAAGCCCGGGGCCCAACCCCGGGACUGCCCUUGGAACUGCAUGGCUGGAGUGCGGGAGGGGCAGGCGGAAUUCCUGGUGUAGCGGUGAAAUGCGUAGAUAUCAGGAGGAACACCGGCGGCGAAGGCGGCCUGCUGGACCGCGACUGACGUUGAGGCUCGAAAGCGUGGGGAGCGAACAGG